CCUGAAGCCCCCGGGGACAACCCCCACACCCUGUAUGCUCAUCUCAUCGGGCAUUGUGACCACCUCUCUGAUGAGAUCAGCAUCACCACACUCCGGCUGUUUGAGGAGCUGCUGCAGAAGCCCCACGAGGGGAUCAUCCACAGCCUGGUCCUGCGCAACCUUGAGGGCCGCCCUUACGUGGCCUGGGGCUCACCAGAGCCUGAGAGCUAUGAGGACACCCUAGACCUGGAGGAAGACCCCUACUUCACCGACAGCUUCCUGGAUUCCGGCUUUCAAACUCCCGCAAAGCCUCGCCUAGCUCCUGCUACCAGUUACGAUGGCAAAACAGCAGUGACCGAGAUCGUCAACAGGUGGGGAGCAAGUUAGGCAGUCUGAACCACUUGAGUUUUAUUUUAUUUUAUUUUAUUUUUUGAGAUAGAGUCUCGCUCCGUCACCCAGGAUGGAGUGCAGUGGUACAAUCUCGGCUCACUGCAACCUCCACCUCCCGGGUUCCGGAUCCAAGCGAUUCCUGUGCCUCAGCCUCCCGAGUACCUGGGAUUACAGACAUGCACCACCACAC
rnacentral:lncRNA from 10 species